rnacentral:rRNA from 1 species
UACAGGGGGGGCAAGCGUUGUUCGGAAUUACUGGGCGUAAAGAGCUCGUAGGCGGUUUGUCACGUCUGCUGUGAAAUCCCGAGGCUCAACCUCGGGCCUGCAGUGGGUACGGGCAGACUGGAGUGCGGUAGGGGAGAAUGGAAUUCCUGGUGUAGCGGUGGAAUGCGCAGAUAUCAGGAGGAACACCGAUGGCGAAGGCAGUUCUCUGGGCCGUAACUGACGCUGAGGAGCGAAAGCGUGGGGAGCGAACAGG